CCUUUAGGACUGACAUAACCUAUCGAAAGGUAGGCUAAUAUCAGAUGAUGCAGCGGCUCGACAUCGAGACAGUUGUUAAACCUUCGGGGCCUAAAGAUGAGCCUGCGUCUGAUUAGGUAGUUGGCGGAGUAAAAGCCCACCAAGCCUGCGAUCAGUAGCUGGUCUGAGAGGAUGAUCAGCCACACUGGAACUGAGACACGGUCCAG
rnacentral:rRNA from 1 species